AACAAACUAUUUAGUAAAUUCAAAAUUUUAACGUUUUUAUAUAGUUUGGGGUUUUGUUUGUCAAUACUGUAAAUAUACAUAUCCUUUGUAUUGAUUAACUUUAUUUCUAUGGGACUUUAAAUUCCCUUAUUUUAUAUUUUCAAAAAGGGUCUUUUUUCACAUAUUCAGGCAAAAUGUUGAUUUGAUGGUUACCAUGGCAACGGGCAUAAUACAGGG
rnacentral:lncRNA from 1 species